CACUGAGGCCAGCAGGGACAGCUCGGAAGCGGCAAAAGGGUUCCUUUGAGGGUCCAAGGAGCACAUCCAUUUCAGGGUCCUCUCCAAAAAAACCCAGGAGAGAGCCAGGGCCAUACAGAGCAGUGCUGCCCUGCUCAAAUUUGCCACCUCCCUGCCUGCAUUUGAGGGCUGAACAUCAGAGAGGCAAGAGAGCUGUGGUGUCGGGACGGGCUCCAGGACACCGAGCGCCUGGGCUAUAGGAACAUGGCCAGGAUGGGGGGAGGUAAGGACUCUCCACCGGUGCUCAGGUGUGGCGCUGUCUCCCCCCCACCCCUGCAGUGAGCGUGUCAUGGAUACAGGGCAAGAGCCUGCUACUUGUUUCCAGCAGAGUAUGUGAGGCUCAUGGGAAUGUCAGUGAGGUGAAAAAAAAAAAACAGGAGUACUUGUGGCACCUUAAAGACUAACAAAUUUAUUGUAGCAUGAGUUUUCGUGAGCUAAAGCUCACUUCUUCGGAUGCAAGGUGAGGUGAGGCAUGGGAAUGAUCCAGAUCUGAAAGACCCCUAAUCUCUAGCAGGUGAGCUGCAGGAGAGAUUGCUGCUGGGAGCAGUAGUGUCCUUUUUUGUCUGUAUGAGUUGGGUUCCAGAGUGCGCAGACACAUUUCCAGCAUCUCAUGACACCUGCGGUGAAUCCUGCUCCAGAAAGAGCUAUUCGAGGCCUCAGUGCCUGCAACCUCUUACUUACCAAGGGGGGCUCCUUGGUCAAUGGGUUGGCUGCCCCAGGACUCUUAUCCACCUUGUGAGCCACUAGAGGGAUUUGGAGCCUGGUUCUGGACAAUUGCAAGGGCUCUGGUGCUGUAGGUUUUAGGUCUUCGGCAGACCAAUGAAGAACUUUCCUCCAAGUGGCGCUUCUGGCCAUACACGACCCCCAGCUCCAUGUCAGCCAGGCUAAAUAACCUACCUUGAGAGGUAAGUAAAAUUGUGGCCACAUGUAGACAUCACAGGAAUUGGUGGGGAUUGACCCAGGGUCCUUCAGCACAAGCCCCUCUCACUCACUGUCAACAAAUCCAGCUCCACUCACUAGACCACACCCCAUUGCAGAGCCCCAGAUUUCAGGAGCCCUGAUUCUCAGACCCAGGCCUCACAUCACAAGGCCA